rnacentral:lncRNA from 1 species
GGCGGAUUUCCGCGGCAUGCUUACGGUGUGCCUGGCUCUCCCGGGCCUUCUUUGCCUCCCGGGAUUAAAGACAAGCUAAUAUAGGGGCACAAAAAAUCCUCUAAUACAACGUAUAGAACUAGAGAGCAGCUGAUAAAAAUCUGGGCCAGUUUAGAGAAGAGAGUGUUCACAACCAGCUGGGGGAACUGAGUCAUUCAUUCAUCAAAAACGCAUGAAUGUCUACCAAGUGUGAUGUUAGGUACUGGGGGUGAUAAAACGUGUGUCAGACAUCUCUUAUGGCAUGUCACACAUUGGACUAUAAUUGGGACAUUUGUAUCUCCCCGAAAUAGACAUUUCCUGUCUGCAUCUCCUAGCAACAGAAUUCUCCCGUCCUUUGGGAAACCCUCCUCAGGAGCGAGUGGGCUCCUCUGCCAAGCGUGUGCAAUCAUAGAGCCUCUCCUCUUGGCUACCACCACCAGUCUUCCAUCCUCUUCCACCCACACAUGUUCAUUUAAGGAUGGGUGUGUGACCAAGACAGAAGACUUCCCUGGAAUUAUUACAUAAAGAGGGAUAGAUAAGCAUUCUAUUUCCUGUGGGGAAGGUUUGCCCUCACUAGUAGACAAUGAAGCCAAACUGAAGACAGAAACAAAGAUAAGAGAAAGAAGAGGGCAUAUUCUGAUGUUCCCACAAUAGCAAACCAGGAGGUCCCUGGAGCAGCCGGGGUUCCUGCAGCUUCUGGAUUCUAGGAUCUACCCCCAGCAUCCUCUGAAUUUAAACCGGUACUUUUACUAUCUUAAGCUAGUAAAAAUUGACUUUUUGUCACUCACAGCUCAAAGAGCCCCAGUAUGAGAAACCACAUGGAGGAGGUUUUAUUUGGACUUGACGUUGAAAAAACAAGCAGACUUUAGGCUAGCAAAAAUUUAGAAGACUUUCUAGGCCAGAAGGUGGCAAACUAUGGCCCACAGGCGAAGUCUAGCCCACUGGAUUUGAAUGACUGCUUUUUAUGUGUUUAAAUGAUUAUAUUUUAAGUGGUUAUAUAAAUACAACAUACUGUUUUCAAUUUUGCCUCUUAGGUCUCACAGUGUAAAAUAUUUACUAUUGGACUUUUUUCGGAAAAAGUUUGCUGAUCCCCGUACUAGGCAGAAAGAACACCUAUCCAUUGUCUCUGUUUCUCUGUCAUGCUCUGCCCUGGAAGGCUGACAUGAAUACAUCACCAGGCUUCCUUGCCCUGUAGCUUCCUGUUGAGUUGGACCAGUACAAAGCAUUGGCAGAAAAUCAAAAGGAGGGAGAAAGGAAAUAUCAGGGUAUGUAUUACACUCUCCUCCCCCUCAUAUACUAGGCCAAAAUUUUGGCCGUACUGUGCCCCUCUGACUACAAUGCCUGUCUAGAGGCCUCUGUUCCAUGCCUCUAGCUCUCAUGGGUCUCCUACCUUUUCCCUCCUUUGCCCCUUCAGGCGUGGGAUGGUAAUGGCUUGCCAUUGUUGCUCGUUCCCUUAACUGUCUCCACACCUCUGUAAAUAGACCCUUCAUUAUAUUCUUUUCAGUUAAGCCGUUUUGAGUAUCGUCUGUUUCCUGCCUAGACUCUGACCAAUAUGGAAAGAUAUGCCAAAGGGUCAUUGCUUUGUUUUCCUUAAAAAUGUCCACAUUUCUAAUCUCUCCAUAAGAUCAUAAGACAUAGUCAUCUAUUCACAUGAUCUUCACUUCCUAUUUUCCCAGCCUUUCUUGAACCCAUUCCUAUCGUACUUUUUAGCCCCCAACUCCAAAAAAGCUGUUUUUAUUAGCAUUAGCAAUGACCUUCAUGUUCUCAAAUCCAGAGGUCAAUUCUCAGCCCUCCUCUUACUGGCUAAUUGUUACCAUGAAAUAGAUAUGAUCCUAC